GGCGGAAGGGCGAGGAACACGUGGGCAACCUGUCCAGGAGGCGGGGAAACCCGGGAAACUGGGGCUAAUACCGGAUGCGGCGCUCCAACGCAUGUUGGAUGCGCCAAAGGGGGCGGCAACGCUCCCCCUCCACGAGGGGCUCGCGCACCAUCAGCUUGUUGGCGGGUAACGGCCACCAAGGCUCACGGUUAGCUGGUCUGAGAGGAUGGCCCAGCCGCACUGGGACUGAGAUACUGCCCAGACUCCUACGGGAGGCUGCAGUCGAGGAUCAUUCGCAAUGGGGGCAACCCUGACGAUGCGACGCUGCGUGGAAGGAUGAAGGCCUUCGGGUCGUAAACUCCUGUCAUGGGGGAAAAGGAGAGGGGUGCGAACACCACCCUUAUUUGAUGGUACUCCAAGAGGAAGAGACGGCUAACUCUGUGCCAGCCGCGGC
rnacentral:rRNA from 1 species